GCUACGGGGGGCAGCAGUGAGGAAUAUUGGUCAAUGGACGCAAGUCUGAACCAGCCAUGCCGCGUGCAGGAAGACGGCGCUAUGAGUUGUAAACUGCUUUUGUACGAGGGUAAACGCAGAUACGCGUAUCUGUCUGAAAGUAGCGUACGAAUAAGGAUCGGCUAACUCCGUGCCAGCAGCCGCGGUAAUACGGAGGAUUCAAGCGUUAUCCGGAUUUAUGGGGGUUAAAGGGUGCGUAGGCGGUCGGAAAAGGUAGCGGUGAAAUCCCGAGGCUCAACUUCGGAAUUGCCUCUGAUACUGUUCGGCUAGAGCGUAGUUGCGGUAUGCGGAAUGUAUGGUGUAGCGGU
rnacentral:rRNA from 1 species